rnacentral:rRNA from 1 species
UGGGGAAUAUUGGACAAUGGGCGAAAGCCUGAUCCAGCCAUGCCGCGUGUGUGAAGAAGGUCUUCGGAUUGUAAAGCACUUUAAGUUGGGAGGAAGGGCAUUAACCUAAUACGUUAGUGUUUUGACGUUACCGACAGAAUAAGCACCGGCUAACUCUGUGCCAGCAGCCGCGGUAAUACAGAGGGUGCAAGCGUUAAUCGGAAUUACUGGGCGUAAAGCGCGCGUAGGUGGUUUGUUAAGUUGGAUGUGAAAUCCCCGGGCUCAACCUGGGAACUGCAUUCAAAACUGACUGACUAGAGUAUGGUAGAGGGUGGUGGAAUUUCCUGUGUAGCGGUGAAAUGCGUAGAUAUAGGAAGGAACACCAGUGGCGAAGGCGACCCCCUGGACUAAUACUGACACUGAGGUGCGAAAGCGUGGGGAGCAAACA